rnacentral:rRNA from 1 species
UACGUAGGGCGCAAGCGUUAUCCGGAAUUAUUGGGCGUAAAGAGCUCGUAGGCGGUUUGUCGCGUCUGCCGUGAAAGUCCGGGGCUCAACUCCGGAUCUGCGGUGGGUACGGGCAGACUAGAGUGAUGUAGGGGAGACUGGAAUUCCUGGUGUAGCGGUGAAAUGCGUAGAUAUCUGGAGGAACACCGGUGGCGAAGGCGGCGUUCUGGACUGUAUCUGACACUGAGGAACGAAAGCCAGGGGAGCAAACGGG